ensembl:lncRNA
UAAAUAUCAGUCCACAUAGCUGUUUAUUAAGCAUCAAAUAUGUUAAUACAUAUUUCUUUUUUCAUCCGUGUGAAAAGUUUUUUUGUUUUUUUUUUCCUUGGUAGAUAAUGCAUUUCUUAACAUGUCAAAGUACUGAACGUUGUCUAUAACUCUCCAUAGGCUGUGGAGCAGUUUGCCAGUGAAAUCCUCAGGGAGUCUUUGGCCAAUGCCCAUGGGAAAUCCCAACAAAACAGAACUCCGAGAGAGAUAUCGGCUAUGGAUGUGCAUCAGGCCAUUAGCUCUAUUCCCACUUGUGAUUUUCUGACUAAUAGGUACAUGGGCAUCAUGGUGAAGGAUGAAAGCCACGCUGACUAACUUCACUCCUUGGCAUCCGACUACAGACGGACAGGUGGACUGUCAUACACCGUCUCCUCCCCCUC